rnacentral:rRNA from 1 species
CGGCAACACAGUUGCGAGCAAUCGCAACCGGUGGCGAGUGGCGCACGGGUGAGUAACGCGUAUGUAACCUACCCUUCUCCGGGACAUAACUCCGCGAAAGCGGUGCUAAUAUCCCAUACCAACUCAUCAAGACAUCUUCUUGAGUUGAAAGCAGCAAUGCGGUGAAGGAUGGGCAUGCGUCCCAUUAGCUGGUUGGUGAGGUAAUGGCCCACCAAGGCUACGAUGGGUAGGGGUUCUGAGAGGAAAGCCCCCCACACUGGUACUGAGACACGGACCAGACUCCUACGGGAGGCAGCAGUAAGGAAUAUUGGGCAAUGGUCGAAAGACUGACCCAGCCAUGCCGCGUGCAGGAUGAAGGCCCUAUGGGUUGUAAACUGCUUUUAGCCGGGAAUAAACACCCGUUUUAUAACGGGCCCGAAGGUACCGGCUGAAUAAGCAUCGGCUAACUCCGUGCCAGCAGCCGCGGUAAUACGGAGGAUGCAAGCGUUAUCCGGAUUCACUGGGUUUAAAGGGUGCGCAGGCGGACAUUUAAGUCAGGGGUGAAAUCCUACAGCUUAACUGUAGAACUGCCCUUGAUACUGAAUGCCUAGAGUAAAGCUGAAGUGGGCGGAAUGUGUUGUGUAGCGGUGAAAUGCUUAGAUAUAACACAGAACACCAAUCGCGAAGGCAGCUCACUAAACUUUAACUGACGCUCAUGCACGAAAGCGUGGGGAGCAAACAGGAUUAGAUACCCUGGUAGUCCACGCCCUAAACGAUGAUCACUCGCUGUUGGCGA